rnacentral:tRNA from 1 species
AUGGCUAUAGUGUAAGGGUAAAUGCGACAGGCUUUGAAUCUGUAGAUGGAAGUUCGAAUCUUCCUAGCCACG